GUGCUCUGGGAGUGUUUAUAUCCCUGUGAGUUGAACACUUCAUGACUGAGAGCUGUCCUUCAUGACAACAGAACCCACAACAACCAUGACUUUUAUCACCAUCUUCAUCUGGACACUUGCUUUAUGCUUUCAAGAAUCCAGAGGGCAGCACAUUGUGACUCAGACUCCUGCAGUGAAAGCUGUUCUCCCAGGACAGUCAGUCUCUCUGAACUGUAAAACCAGCAGUAAUGUGCAUGGAAAUAACUAUCUAGCCUGGUACCAACAUAAACCUGGAGGAGCUCCUAAACUCCUUAUUUACUAUGCUACAACACUUCAGUCUGGGAUUCCAUCUAGAUUCAGUGGCAGUGGAUCUCAUAGUGACUUCACUCUGACCAUCAGUGGAGUCCAGGCUGAAGAUGCAGGAGAAUACUACUGUCAGAGUUUACACUACCCCAAUAGUAAAUAUGUGUUCACACGGUGAUACAGAGUUGUACAAAAACCUCCCUCAGUCAGACUGCACAGCUGGAACCUACUGCAGGUGCUGAGGGGGAAGAGAAAGUGACAUGAAACACUGAUUAGUAGAGGAGGUCAACUUUGAAUAAGGUUAGAAAGUAUCAUUCAGAUCAAACGUUCUCCAACGUUGUCACCAUAGCUCUCAUCAUCAUCAUUUCAUUAUUAUCAUCUUCAUGGCUGUAACUUGUUAUAAUGGUCAUGAACUGAAAGUGUAUAUACAAGUUAUUAGACGUUUUGGAAGACAUUACCAGUCCAUAUGUAGAAUAAGAUCUACUGAAGUAAAAAGAAAAGUGAUGUUAAAUCAGCAUCUACCCCUCAAACCAAAUCCCUACAUGAGCUUCACAACCAAUUAUUGAUGUGAUCAUCUAGCAUGUAUUAACCCUUUUCUUGAACUGUUAGAUCUGUGAAUGAGACAUGAUGCUGGGCUCAAACACAUCAGGAUA